AAAUUAUUUCAAUAUAUAUAUAUUUUUCUUCAAUACAUAUAUAUAUAUAUUUCUAUGAUCGAUAGAUAUUAUUAAUAUUAUUAUUUUUAUUGCAAAAAAAAUUAUGCACCUUGAAUUAUAUACGUUCAACAUGUAUGAUAAUACAAAUUUAUGUCACAUGAUCGAUAUUGAUUAUUUUUUUUUUGCUCUUAUAAACUAUAUAUAUGUUUUAAUAAAAAGAAAUUGGAAAACAAAAAUAUAUAAGGAAAAUAAUAAAUAAUGGAAUCAAUUAUUAUUGAAUUGGAAAUUAAGUCUAAAGAGAAUAAAUAUUAACACGACCCACCCCGAAUUUCACCCUGAAACCCGGAGUAAGUCGUGCGGGGACCACCUCCAAGGAAAAUUUAAUUUACUAAAAAGAUUAAGAAAAUAUUCUUUACAGAUGGACAACCCUAACUCGAAAAUUCCAAGUUACACUCUUAAUUCAACACGUCCAAACAUCACAUAAUUAACUUUCAGAAAUUCUACACAUAAAAUACAAUAAUCCCAAAGUAUUCAGAGCUACUAAACACGAGCGGAAGCAAGAAAACACGAGUAGGUUAAACAUGUAACCUACUGAUGAAAACUGGUGGAAAUGCGGGUGACUAUGCCUCGUCUCCUACUAGAUCCAACCCGAACUCUGUAGACUGGGCAAUUUAAAACGAAAGGCCCAGGGGAAAACAUUUAAUAACGUUAGAGUGAGUGGACAAAAAUAAAAUAAUAAAUAAAAUAUUUAUGUUUCCCCAAAUUAAUUUCUAAGGAAAAAUCGAAUGCAUGCCGCAAGCGAUAAAACUUUUAUCUCAUAAAAAAAUAUCGAGCCUCUCAGACUCUAUAAUAUAUGUAUGUAUUUACACUCGUCCAUACUCCCUAUAUAAAUUCAUGGGUCUAUAUAGGGCUACUACGCUCGCGUCCAACGCUCACGUUACGCUUUAAUGCGGUGCUACACUACGCCAUCAAGGUGGACAGACGGGUGUAUAAAUAUGUGUCCAUACCCCCUAUAUGAAUUUAAACACUCAAAUAGGGCUACUACGCUUACGUCCAACGCUCACGUCACACCAUAAUGCGGCUAUAUGCUACGCCAUUAAGGUGGACAGACACAUAUGGCUAGCUAGCAUUUAUAUACAUACUCUCUCAUAAAUACAUAUUUAUAUCCACCGAAAAUCCCAUUUUCGGUAACUCUCCAAGAGAAAUAAAAAUCGUCAAAUUAAAAUGACGUUAAAAUAUUCCGCAACAUUAAUUGUUCAACCAUGAACUAUNNNNNNNNNNNNNNNNNNNNAUGCUCUACAACUUUCCUGACCAACACAUCACCCAAUUCCAAGCCUAACUAGGCUAAUCGAACAAAAACAUCCUAAAAGCCCUAGAAAUUUCAACUCCACAUUUCUCAUUACCUAGCUCAAGAGGGAGUGAGCUGAUUGGAGGGGUUGCUGCACGGGAGGAGGGCUACAAAACCGUACCAAGCUUGCCCGGAUUGGUGGCCGGAGGAGGGAGUUCCGGCGGCCGGAAGUUCGGGGCAGCCUAGCCUUUCGGGCGGCACCGCUCUCUCACGGCGGCGCUAGGGGGGCUGUCACCGGUCCUGGAAGAUAGCUGGGUUGGAGACCGAUCGAUUGGGACCGGUGCGGCGGUCUGGGGCGGCCGGACGGCGGCGGACGGGCGGUCGGAAUUCCGGCAGCGGGUGUGGGAGCGGGAGAGGAGAGAGAGAAUCGGGAGGGAGAGAGAGAUUUUGGGCUUAGCCCAACCGGUUCCAACCCACAUAUACCCAAUCCAAAUUUCAACACCCCAAAAAUAAUACCCCAAUAAAAAUUACCUUUUACUAGCAAAAAUUUACCAUUUUUACCGUCGUCAUAUUUUCUCCCACGAAUAAUCCUCAGCACUAAAAAUCGACCCCGAAACCCCUCUAGGGACCAAUUAAGCUAUUAACUCAAUGAUCGAGACGGUAAAAUUCUUAUUAUAAUCAAGCUAGUAAAUAAGGUAAAAAUAUAAGGGUCGGGAUGUGACAAAUAUAAUAUUUUCUUUUGUAUAAUUAUUGUCCUUAAUAGUGAUUGUGUAUGAGGAUGUAUAUGUCAUUUAAUAAUUCACAAUAUAAUGAGGUCUAGUGAGCAAAUUUGGAGGUCCCAAUAAUCGCACUCCUCUCAAUUUACUACUACUGUAUAAAUCUUAAAUCAAACACAAUUUAAUAAAUUGAGGGUACAAUAGAGAAACUACAAAAACAAAAAAUACUCCAACGGCUCCGCCACGUUUUAAGGAGAAAAGAAAGUUAUAGUUGGCAAAUAUAUAAGAGAGAAAUGAGUAAUUCUAAAUACACACAUUUAAUCUCUUAAUACACACCUUUAUUAAUUUAUUUUCACAUCAAAUAUUUUAGGUAUGUUUAAU
rnacentral:lncRNA from 1 species